GACGAACGCUGGCGGCGUGCUUAACACAUGCAAGUCGAACGGAAAGGCCCUGCUUUUGUGGGGUGCUCGAGUGGCGAACGGGUGAGUAACACGUGAGUAACCUGCCCUUGACUUUGGGAUAACUUCAGGAAACUGGGGCUAAUACCGGAUAGGAGCUCCUGCUGCACGGUGGGGGUUGGAAAGUUUCGGCGGUUGGGGAUGGACUCGCGGCUUAUCAGCUUGUUGGUGGGGUAGUGGCUUACCAAGGCUUUGACGGGUAGCCGGCCUGAGGGGGUGACCGGCCACAUUGGGACUGAGAUACGGCCCAGACUCCUACGGGAGGCAGCAGUGGGGAAUAUUGCACAAUGGGCGGAAGCCUGAUGCAGCAACGCCGCGUGCGGGAUGACGGCCUUCGGGUUGUAAACCGCUUUCGCCUGUGACGAAGCGGGAGUGACGGUAAUGGGUAAAGAAGCACCGGCUAACUACGUG
rnacentral:rRNA from 1 species